rnacentral:tRNA from 1 species
UGCAUCGGCCGGGAAUGGAACCCGGGUCGCCCGGGUGGCAGGCGAGCAUUCUACCACUGAACCACCGAUGG